rnacentral:rRNA from 1 species
UACGUAGGGUGCAAGCGUUGUCCGGAAUUAUUGGGCGUAAAGAGCUCGUAGGCGGUCUGUCGCGUCUGCUGUGAAAACUCGGGGCUUAACCCCGGGCCUGCAGUGGGUACGGGCAGACUAGAGUGCGGUAGGGGUGACUGGAAUUCCUGGUGUAGCGGUGGAAUGCGCAGAUAUCAGGAGGAACACCGGUGGCGAAGGCGGCGCCUGGUCCGAUACUGACGUGAGGCGCGAAAGCGUGGGGAGCAAACAGG